ACUGGCAACCACCAUUCUACUUUCUGUCUCCAUGAAUUUGACUACUCCAGGCUGCUGUGCAUUUUAGAGAAGUUCUUACGUGAUACUGAAAAAAGUGCCAGCUCAAAUGUAAGACUUAAAACUAAUAAAGAGGUUCCGGGAUUAGUUCAUCAACCCAGAGCAAACAUGCACAUCUCUGAAAGCCAACAAGAAUUCUUCAGAAUGCUGGAUGAAAAAAUUGAAAAGGGUCGGGAUUACUGUUCGGAAGAAGAGGAUAUCACAUAGCACCAAUUUUACCACUCAAACCAGGAGCUACUACUGUGUAAAUAGGUUACACCCCAGUUGAAAUCUUUGCAAAGGUCGGUUCUAUUCAGCGAACAGCACUAUAGCAAAAGAAGAUCGUUCCAUAUUGUACGCCCCAUUAAAUUACAGUGUUUCUUAAUGAACUUGCAAAGGAAUAUUGCUAAAAACAAACAAAAAAAACUGUUAUCGAACUUUCUUUGUUGCUGCUAGUUAAAACUUGUUGCAACUUUUCACUUCUCUUGUGUCCAGGUAUGCAGCAAAAUUCUGCAAUUUCACCUUAAAGAUACUGUUGGUUUUACAGAUGCUCUCCAACCUAUUUUCUAUAAGAUGAGGUAGUGGUGAACUCAGAUAACAAACUUCUC
rnacentral:sRNA from 1 species